CGGUGAGUUUAUUAGCCUAAAUCUCCUUUCAGGAAAAAACUUUUGUACUUUUACAGACAUUUACAUCUAUGUUUUUGCCUUUAAGAAUUAGAGACUUGCAUUUGAUUUGAUUGUCUUACAUUCAUUUGUUGACCAUCUGAAAUAUAUUCCUUCUCAUGGAAGGUGACUAUUAGACUAUCAGACUAAUUUGAGAAAAGACAAUCUUUUUAAGUUAAAUUUUACAUUUAUUAUGAACUUUCUUAUAUAUAUAUAUAUAAACUUUUAACUUCGUUCAUGGUGGUGUAGCACCAUAUUUCCUCUUUAUGACUUGGAUUCACUAUCACUUCUUAACUUAGUAUCCAUAGGCAAACUUUCACAUAUGAUCUUCUAUGAUGGCUAUAUGGAAUCAGUUGAGGGCACUAUAUUAUCAAGCUGUGACAUGUUUGUUUGUUCGUCUUUAUUAUGUCUUACAACUCUUCUGUGAUAUGAAAAGAAAUGUAGUUUCACAAUUCAUAAGUUUUUGUGCUAGCUAUAUUUUAAACUGUACCUGUUUGUCUGCAUCAUCGUUUGUUGCUUUACAUUGGGUCUUCAAUGUUAUUUGAGAGAGUUGGGUUACUUCUAAACUCAUUUCUUGAUGGAACCAUGACUUUCUACAUUAUGGAGUUGUGGUUUUCACUGAGCUUAUCUGAAGUGUGUUUCUGAACCAAAAAGAGGCAUUCAGAACCACUAGUAUAAAUUUAUCCUUUGGGCAAAAGUUCUCUGAUUAAGCUUUUGCUAAUACCACUGGCACUUUGAACCACUUUUUUGCUUUCAUAUCUUAGUUCCUAAGUGCUUGGACAGUCUCUAUGAUUCUAUUAGAUAAUUUCAAGAAGAAAAUCAUGCAUUUUUAUUAUAAAAUUAACAUGAUGCUUGUACUGAUAACUAUAGCAUAUUGCCUACUCAAAUGAAUAAACUUAUUUAGAAUGACUUUUAUAUGAUGUCUCUUGAUAUCAAUUGGUUAGAAUGUGGUUCGAAUUGCUAGUCUGCCUUAUUUUUUAUUUAUUAUAGUCAAACAUUUUUGUAAAUUUUUCUUGUUAAUGAUACAGGUAGGCGUAAGAAGCUUAACUUGAAAUUUCUUUUCAAGGAUUAGGAAGUGUUAUUGUAGAUACUGUAUUUUUAAGAUCUAAUGAUGUCCUUUAAAUAGAUUUUAUAUUAAUUCUUUUGCUAAUUUUAG
rnacentral:lncRNA from 1 species